rnacentral:misc_RNA from 1 species
AAGUCGUAACAAGGUUUCCGUAGGUGAACCUGCGGAAGGAUCAUUAACACGUUCCACGUAUCAACCCGCGAACUCGUUUUUCCUCUGAUUAAGCUCCAGUUUAGCACCUGUAAACCUCGCAUUUCAGUCCGCAAAGAUAAGGAAACAGACUGCAUAAGUCUGGCGGCUGGCGAUGGUAUAAUCCUGCGCUUCUGCGCCUCUGCAAAGAGGAGAGGAGGAGACAGGAAGGGCUCUGGAUGUCUGGUCAUGCUUCUAUUCCUUAUCGCUUUUUCACAAUCAUUUACCCCAUUCCGAAACGUACUAAUUUAUAUUUCUUUCUUAAGAAAUUGGAACACUCUUGGCUGCUGUGUAAUACGCGGCGGCCUAGUUUGCUCUAACCUACUAAGAAAAACCUUAAGAACAACUCUUAACAACGGAUAUCUUGGCUCUC